GAAACACCCACGGUUGGAGAAGGAAUCAGCAAAGCGCAACGUGUUUGUUCUGUGCUGAACUGGAUUUUAGGUCACAGUGAAUGUAAAUCUCUUUGGUGGAGUUAAACCUGCACAUGGGUGCAUUCCAAUGCCAUUAAAUGGAACCAGUGAUCAUCAGUGUGUUGUCAGCAGCACACUGGAUUUGGGUCCCACGGUGCAGUGUGAGCUAAAUUUACAUGGACAAGAUACCUCCAUGGCUAUCCAACUCGAUGGAUUCUCCAUUCCCCGAGCAGACAGGACAUUGGAUUCUGAGAAAUUGAGAGGGGAAAAGAUCCUCAAAAGGUUCUACAGCUACACCAUCGAGAGCAUCCUGAUCGGUUGCAUCACCGCCGGGGAUGGCAACUGCUCAGUAUCUGACCGUAAGGAGCUACAGAGGAUAGAGCGUACGGCCCAGUACAUAAUUGGAGCCAAGCUUCCUGCCAUCCAGGACAUAUAUACUAGGCGGAUUCAGAGGAAAGACCCAAAAAAUUGUCAAAGACUCCAGUCACCCAAGUCAUAGACUGUUCUCUCCGCUACCGCACGGCAAGCGGUACCUGAACGCCAAGACGAGGACCAAAAGGCUCCUUAACAGCUUCUACCCCCAAGCCAUAAGACUGCUGAACAAUUAAUCAAAGAGCCUCCAGGACUAUUUACAUUGACCCCCCCCCCGUGUUUAUUACCUACAGUAUGCAGUCACUUUACCCCUACCUACAUGUACAAAUGACCUUGACUAACCUUUACCCCCACACAUUGACUGUAUAUAGCCUCGUUAUUGUUAUUUUAUUGUAUUACUUUUUAUUAUUUUAUACUUUAAGUUUAUUUGGUAAAUAAUUUCUUAACUCUUUCUUGAACUGCAUUGUUGGUUAAGGGAUUGUAAGUAAGCAUUUCACUCUUGUAUUCAACGCAUGUGACAAAUAAAGUUUGAUUUGAUUUCAGACAAGAGAUGAACCUCAAAGAUGAUUGAAAUGGAAUGGAAUCAAAUCAUGAUCAAACGUUUUGGAAUUGCUGAGGUGGUAACAUGCAUUGUACUGGAAUAUUCCAUACCAGUACCGUGAAGGGGAGGAUAGUGUGUGCCAAGAGUCUGGCAUCAGUGUUUAUGAGAGAGAGGAAGAUGCAUUGUAACAGGGUACUGUAGGUAGAGAUGUGACUCAGUGCUUCAUCUAGUGGCCAUCUUAUGAAAUUGGAGAAAAUAGACCACACACAAAUUAUUAUGACCACAGUAGAUGUAACCAACCAUGUAUUAGGGGUUAUUCAUAAAAUUCUACUGUUUUUCUACUGAUUAGAGGCUGGAUUAAUUAACAGGCUACUCUAGAUGUUAACAAGGCCUAUGCAUUAUCCUGUGUAUGGAAAAUACAGAGUGUACAAAACAUUAAGAACACCUGCUCUUUCCAUGACAUAGACUGACCAGGUGAAUCCAGGUGAAAGCUAUGAUUAUUGAUGCCACUUGUUAAAUCCACCUCAAUCAGUGUAGAUUCAGUUUUUUUUUUUUUUUACCUGUGACCCAAGCUUAGGAAAAUAUUUAACUAUAUGAAAAUAUUGGUACAUUUCAUUGCCCUUAUGCCUAAAACUAAAAUUCUAUAUAAACAAAAACAAAUAACAAUUAAAUGAAAUAUUCAUAAAAACAUAUAUUCAUGUUUAUUUCCCCCCAUUAAAAACUGUCACACCCUGACCAUAGUUUACUUUGUAUAUUUCUAUGUUUUGGUUGGUCAGGGUGUGAGCUGAGUGGGCAUUCUAUGUUUCAUGUCUAGUUUGUCUAUUUCUAUG
ensembl:lncRNA